rnacentral:rRNA from 1 species
AGUGAACGCUGGCGGUAGGCCUAACACAUGCAAGUCGAACGGCAGCACAGUAAGAGCUUGCUCUUACGGGUGGCGAGUGGCGGACGGGUGAGGAAUACAUCGGAAUCUACUUUUUCGUGGGGGAUAACGUAGGGAAACUUACGCUAAUACCGCAUACGACCUACGGGUGAAAGCAGGGGAUCUUCGGACCUUGCGCGAUUGAAUGAGCCGAUGUCGAAUUAGCUAGUUGGCGGGGUAAAGGCCAACCAAGGCGACGAUCCGUAGCUGGUCUGAGAGGAUGAUCAGCCACACUGGAACUGAGACACGGUCCAGACUCCUACGGGAGGCAGCAGUGGGGAAUAUUGGACAAUGGGCGCAAGCCUGAUCCAGCCAUACCGCGUGGGUGAAGAAGGCCUUCGGGUUGUAAAGCCCUUUUGUUGGGAAAGAAAAGCAGCAGGUUAAUACCCCGCUGUUCUGACGGUACCCAAAGAAUAAGCACCGGCUAACUUCGUG